AUUGAACGCUGGCGGCAGGCCUAACACAUGCAAGUCGAGCGAGCGGCGAACGGGUGAGUAAUGUAUGGGGACUGCCCGAUAGAGGGGGAUAACUACUGGAAACGGUGGCUAAUACCGCAUACUAUCGGAAAACCCAUAUGGGAUUAGCUAGUGGGUGGGGUAAAGGCUCACCUAGGCGACGAUCCCUAGCGGGUCUGAGAGGAUGAUCAGCCACACUGGGAUGGAGACACGGCCCAGACUCCUACGGAGGCAGCAGUGGUGAAGAUUGCACAAUGGGCGCAAGCCUGAUGCAGCCAUGCCGCGUGUAUGAAGAAGGCCUUAGGGUUGUAAAGUACUUUCAUCGGGGAGGCGUUACCCGAAGAAGAAGCACCGGCUAACUCCGUGCCAGCCGCCGCGGUAAUAC
rnacentral:rRNA from 1 species